rnacentral:rRNA from 1 species
UGCAGAAUCCCGUGAAUCAUCGAGUCUUUGAACGCAAGUUGCGCCCGAAGCCAUUAGGUUAAGGGCACGCCUGCCUGGGUGUCA